AACUAGCUAAUUAAAGUUGGUAUUUGAAAGCGCUAUUUGUUUCUAGCAGUCUACAUCUGAUAUGACAUUUUUUGUAAUCAUUUUCUAGAUCAAGGAUAUCCACCUUUUAUCUACCAACACAUUUGAAAAUACAGUACAACCCCAAUCAAAGUGCGAGUCCGCUUUGAGAAUGUUCUGGAGGAGGUGACCCACUACACCCCUGGCUACAUGGAGGAGAUGGACUCUAUCUUUGACCAAUCACAAGAGGAGGAGAGGAAGAGAAUCACCAACAAUGAGAGGAGUGGGCACCAAAAAAGUGAAUAAGAGGUAGAGGCACAGCAAGACACCAUACAGUCUAAUGGAUGGGAUGCCAGUGAGAUGUUCAACUACGGAGUCAACUCCACCUAUGGCUUCCUCUUCAUGUACACCUGAGUAUUCUCCUCAGUCUGUGUCUUUUUAGAAGUGUUCCUCUGGAGAGGCCUGCCUCAGAUGAAUGAGACCGAGGGCAACCUCCAGAUACCACCACCUCGUCUCACUAAACAACAAUGAAGGCAAGACUGAGGAGUACAAGUACAGUACCAUGGUCUAAGACAGAGAGGCGACAUGAAUGAGUAGUGACGAUGGCAGGUGAUUCUCUAGAGGACUCUAUUCCUCGGAAUGCAAUUAGUUUAAUCAGGUGUGUUAGCUGGGGUAUGGGAAAAAGUGUGACACCA